UUAAUAAUCCUGAGCUCGCAACCCUUAAACUGGGGGGACGCAUGAGAAAAGAUGACUAGGUUAUUGAAUUCCGAGUUGAGUCCACGGACUCAGCGCAUCAUUGGAUCGAGUGCCAAGAAAAGCCCCAGCGUAUGCUAAGCGACCCGUACCGCAAACCGACACAGGUGGGUGGGUAGAAUAUACCAAGGCGUAAGAGUGAAACCUGGUUAAGGAACUCGGCAAAUUAGCCCCGUAACUUCGGAAGAAGGGGUGCCUGCAGCGACGCAGGCCGCAGAGAAAUGGCCCAACCGACUGUUUAUCAAAAACACAGCACUCUGCAAAGACGCAAGUCGAAGUAUAGGGUGUGACACGUGACCAAUGCCGAAAGAUUAAGGCAAGGGGUUAGCCGCAAGGCGAAGCUCUAAACCCAAGUCCCGGUGAAUGUCGGCCGUAACAAUAACGGUCCUAAGGUAGCGAAAUUCCUUGUCGGGUAAGUUCCGACCUGCACGAAUCGUGAAACGAGUUGGGCACUGUCUCAACCAGGCGCUCAGUGAAAUUGUAGUGGCGGUGAAGAUGCCGCCUACCCGCAGAAGGACGGAAAGACCCUAUAGACCUUAACUGUAAGCUGCCAUUGUUUCUUCGGUUUUAAUGCUCAGAGUAAGUGGGAGACGCUGAAGACGCCCUUUAGGGGGCGUCCGAGUCAUCAAUGAGACACCACCCUUUGAAACUGGAGGAUCUAACCCUGAGCCGUGAAUCCGGCCAGAGGACCGUGUCAGCCGGUCAGUUUUACUGGGGCGGUAUCCUCCCAAAGAGUAACGGAGGAGCGCGAAGGUGGGCUCAGCCCGGUUGGCAACCGGGUGUCGAGUGCAUGGGCAUAAGCCCGCCUAACUGUGAGACCAACAAGUCGAGCAGAUGCGAAAGCAGGCCCAAGUGAUCCGGCGGUAGAAAGUGGAAUUGCCGUCGCUCAACGGAUAAAAGGUACCUUAGGGAUAACAGGCUGAUCACGCCCAAGAGUUCAUAUCGACGGCGUGGUUUGGCACCUCGAUGUCGGCUCGUCGCAUCCUGGGGCUGGAGAAGGUCCCAAGGGUCCGGCUGUUCGCCGGUUAAAGCGGCACGCGAGCUGGGUUCAGAACGUCGCGAGACAGUUCGGUCCUCUAUCCUCUGUGGGCGUUGGAAAAUUGAGGGGUUCAGACCUUAGUACGAGAGGACCGGGUCUGACGCACCACUGGUGCAUCGGUUGUACUGUCAAGUGCAUGGCCGAGUAGCUAAGUGCGGACGGGAUAAGCGCUGAAAGCAUCUAAGCGCCAAGCCCUUCCCAAGAUGAGUUUUCCCUACAGGUUCGUGGAAGACCACCACGUUGAUAGGUCGCAGGUGUAAGUGCAGCAAUGUAUUGAGCCGAGCGAUACUAAUUACCUG
rnacentral:rRNA from 1 species